GUGGUGUAGGGGUUAACAUGCCUGCCUGUCACGCAGGAGRUCGCGGGUUCRARUCCCGUCCAGA
rnacentral:tRNA from 1 species